GACGAACGCUGGCGGCGUGCUUAACACAUGCAAGUCGAGCGGUAAGGCCCUUCGGGGUCCUCGCGCGGCGAACGGGCGAGUAACACGUGAGUAAUCUGCUCAUCACUUCGGGAUAACUCCGGGAAACCGGUGCUACUACCGAAUAUGACCACUUCAGGCAUCUGAUGGUGGUGGAAAGUUCCGGCGGUGAUGGAUGAGCUCGCGGCCUAUCAGCUUGUUGGUGGGGUAGUGGCCUACCAAGGCUUCGACGGGUAGCCGGCCUGAGAGGGUGACCGGCCACACUGGGACUGAGACACGGCCCAGACUCCUACGGGAGGCAGCAGUGGGGAAUAUUGGACAAUGGGCGAAAGCCUGAUCCAGCAACGCCGCGUGAGGGAUGACGGCCUUCGGGUUGUAAACCUCUUUCAGCAGGGACGAAGCGCAAGUGACGGUACCUGCAGAAGAAGCACCGGCCAACUACGUG
rnacentral:rRNA from 1 species